GUAUCCCUGUGGUCGUUUGGUAUCCCUGUGGCCGCGAAUCUGGGGAUGAAAAGUACUGCCUAGGCCAACAAGCAACAUUGGAAACAAAGUGGUAGAAAAGUGACAUUUAUCUAGUAGAAAUUGACGGAGAACCGCAUAUUGCUACAUAUUUUCUCGAAUUAUUGUCAUUUUGACACCUCUCAUGCUGUUAUUAGACCCAUAUUAUACAAAACGCGAAUCUGGGGAUGAAUCUGGGGAUGGAAAAUACGCAUGCCUAGGCCCGCUAAAAACAUCAAAAAUAAAUUGGCAAGAAAAAAAUUUUAUCGAGUGGAAAUAGAAAGGAAACUCUGGAAAUAACAUAUUUUCUUGCUAAUCAUUGUUAUUUCGAUACAUUUCGAGCAGUACAAGCAAGUUUUCGAAUCUGGGGAUGAAUCUGGGGAUGAAUCUGGGGAUGAAUCUGGUGCUGAAUGGUACGCGGUAAUUCUCUGUAAGUAAAAUGCAAGGAAUAGCUUAUUUCCAAGCAGCCACAACUCAUGUUAAUCUCCAGAACAUUCUAUGCCAAUGGCAGGGUUUUCAGCCUUAAUGGUGUUGCACUAUGUGGAGAAGUGACAGGCACAAAAGUCCAUUUUUGGACAUAAAAUCAGCGAGCAGGAUCAUUUUAUGCAACCAAACCAAACUCUCAGCCUUUUCAGUAAUCAAUUGUUACUAGUUGAACAUUUGCAGAGAAUCUUCUUGAUUUAAUGAAUGCCAAAUCUUGGUGCUGUUCACUGGAGAUGGAUG